rnacentral:tRNA from 1 species
GCCGCCGUAGCUCAGUGGAUCAGAGCACACGCCUCCGGAGCGUGGGGUCGCAGGUUCGAGUCCUGCCGUCGGCGCCA